rnacentral:rRNA from 1 species
ACUCGAGUGGCGAACGGGUGAGUAACACGUGGGUGAUCUGCCCUGCACUUCGGGAUAAGCUUGGGAAACUUGGUCUAAUACCGGAUAGGAGCCAUCUUUAGUGUGGUGGUUGGAAAGUUUUUCGGUGUAGGAUGAGCUCGCGGCCUAUCAGCUUGUUGGUGGGGUAAUGGCCUACCAAGGCGGCGACGGGUAGCCGGACUGAGAGGUUGGUCGGCCACAUUGGGACUGAGAUACGGCCCAG